ensembl:lncRNA
GACAGAAUGACUUGGAAGAUGAUGGAGCUGCUCAGUCAAGCGGAAUGUGAAGUCUUUCCUCUUCAGCUCUGUGGAUUGCAUUUAAGAAGAUGGCAGAGCUGGGAUGCCGAGAAUGACUUGAGAUGAUGGACACUCAGGAACAGAAUGACUCUGAAGCAUCGAAAAGGCAGCAAACCUGGAGCUGUUUGCAAAUCUUCUUGAGUUCCCCUUUAAAACUCACCAGCAAAUGCUGACCUGGGAAUUUCAAAACAGUAGACUGAAAUGAAGAUGCCAUCUCACCUCCUGGACUUGAACUUUAUGGCCCUGCAAUGGAGCCAUCCUACUCCGAGAAGCCCAUGAACGUGAGACAGCCAGGAAGAGUUAUCAGUGGCCAGCUUCCAGAUGAAAGGAGAGAAGAGGAAAAAGGAGAUUUUCAGAACCCAGUUGUGUUAAACGUGGUAACAGAGGAGCCUAACAGUGAAGGAGGCAAAAAAGAUAAGAGGUUCCUGCCCCUGGGGGCAAGGCAUUCAGUUGCCACAUCAAUGCAUGGGCACAGCAAGGGAUGAACGCAGCUCUGCAGAGGCCACAGACGACCCACUGGGGUAGUGAGCAGCCCUGAAGUGCCAAUGCUGUUACAAGUCCUGGGCCAGUUACAACUACAAUCCCCGCCCCGUCCCUGGCCCACUGUCUAGUGGGGGAGGGGGUGACCAUGAGAGAGCAAAUAGUCAUACUGCUACGGAAGCACAGAGCUGGUUCCACGCAGACAGAUCCUGGAAGAUGUUCCCAGACAGACGCCAUGUCUGCCAGGUCCUGAAGUGGGAGAGGGCUCCCAGGAACUUGCUGCCAUUGGGCAGAACUGAUGGGGAUGGUGGGGGGAGGAAGGGAAGUUUGGAAACUCUUCAGGACGUAACAUGGAGAAGACUGGACACCAAAUGGUUGUGGGAGUGAAGGUCGGACAAGGUCAAAGGCGGCCCCGAGCCUCUUGGGAAACCAGGAUGUACUGACUGAGGAGCUGGUAGACAUUCUAACAGCAGGUCUCCGCCACCGCCCGCCCGUCAAUUGCCCCUCCAUUCACCUUGCCGUCCAGACGGUGCUGGGGAGACACAAAGCAUCUUGAGUACUUCCUCAUUACCUCAUGGCAGUGAAAAGAAGAUGGAUUUUCCACCGCCUACUUCCUUCUCCAGAGUUUGAAAAAUGCAGUGAGCUCAAUCGUGCAAGCUCCUGAACAGACAGCUGGAAGACCCGUUUGUAUUUGGCCAAGUGAUCUUCAGAAAGGAGAGAUGUGGCCUUCCUCAAAAAGGCUAUCUUCUACAAAUCUCGACUUCCCCAAAAUUAGCCUGACCCACUGGCGGAGUUGCCUGCCUGUGUUGGGGAGAUGGCUAGACUUGAGUCAGUGUGGUCUUUUUUGUUUUUUUGCUGAGGAAGAUUUUCCCUGAGCUAACAUCCAUGCCAAUCUUCCCCUAUUUUUUUUUUUUUUUUUUUUUAGUAUGUGGGCUGCCAGCACAGGAUGGCUGCUAGCAUAUUGGUGUAGGUCCAUCCCUGGGAACCAAACCUGGGCCACCAAAGCAGAGUGUGCUGAACUUAACCACUAGGCCACCGGGGCUGGCCCAGUGCAGUCUUUACCUGUUUACUAGAUCCUGGGUGCUGGGAGGGAGACUGCGUGUAGCUUGGGAAUGUUACGGGGAGGAAGUAAUAGAAAAGCAUAACGUGGAAGUAACCAUUGCUAGAAUCCUCAUUUGCACCCACAAAUAGGCUGUAAAACUGCCUUUGAGCCCAUGGAGAUGGGUAUUAAACACAGUCAUUCUUCACUGGUAUUGCCAUCGUGUGCAUGUUUGUGUGCGCACAUGCGCGCGUCUAACGUCAUUUCUGCAGCUGGUGGGGCCCAGGCUGAGGCAGAGAGUUCACACAGCAGGAAGACUGUCUUGCCUCAGUCGCUUGGAAAAAGAGAAAAGAGGGCAGAAAGCCACAACUCAACAAAAAAGAAUCUUCUAAAAGCGAGAAAGACGUUUUAAGAGAGCUCUUUUGACGUAGAACUCAGGAAGGACAACUCGUUUGUUGAGGCCGUCGGCUCAGUGUCCUGCUACCAGAAAGCCCAGUGAAAUACUGCACAGUACUGGAAAGAUUUUGGAAACAAAAUUCAAUUCUGCAAACAUUACGAGGCAUCUUCUGUGCGCCAGAAAAUGUACUAAGUUCCUGGGGAUAAAAAGCUGAAUUGGGCAUGACCCUUUACUUCAAGGGGUUUGGAUCUGGGCAAUUUAAGUACGAAGACUGUGCAAGAGAAUAUGACACAAAUGGUUAUUUCUGGGGAGUGGGGUUACAGCUAAUAUUAUUUUUAACUUUUCAGAAAAUCAUAGGAUACUGUAGCUGAGUAGCUUGGUGGCUGUGAAGUGAGUGGCUGGUGAGGAGAGUGAAGCCGCCUCUUUUAACCUCCAUGCUCUUCUUGUCUUCCCCAGGAGGGGAGUUUGAAUUUAUCUCUGGGAGUAGAUUUGCCCGAAUUGGUUCUUUGGUUAUUCUACAGGAAGCCGAUCCUGCUUUAUAGUGAAGAUGACCCAGCUCUUCUUACUCAGUUCUCUUUGCUGACCCAACUACACCUUGUGAGGGUUCCGUCUCUUCUCAGUCUACAAUCUUGACCUCCAGUAUUUCAGCCAUGUCCGUGGCGGUCCAUUCCUUCUACAUGCCGAUCAUUUCUCGGUCCACAUCUCCAGGUCCAACCUCUGUUCUGAGCACUAGCCUCUUAGAUUCCCUGCAAACCUUUCCCAAAUAUACCCUCCAGUCUAUUCUCCACCCCUCAGCUGGACCGGUGCUGAAAACCCUUUAGAGGGUUCUCAUUGUUCUAAGGAUAAAAUCUAAAAUUCUUAACAUGCCUACAAAAGCAUGCAUGACUGGCUCUUAUUCGCUUCUCCGGGCGCAUCUCCUGUGGCUCUGGCCUUCCUCCCUUUCCUACAGUUGGCCCAGCUCUUGUGCACCCCGGAGCCUCAAAUCCACCAUUUUCUUUAUCUGGAAUCAUCCAACUCAAUCAUCCUUCAGAGCUCAGCUAAAAUGUUGCGUUCUUCAGGGGGCCCUCUCUAAUCCCUUAGAGCCAUGUCAACUCUCAUUAUAUGCUCUGUGUCUUUAGCAGAGACAUGGAGAAGAACGAUUUGUAAAACGAUCUGUUUACUAUCUAUCUCCUUCAGAUUGUAGCAAUUACAGAUUCCAGCCCUACGGCCUAACACAGUGCCAGUUGCUGAGUGACGCUCUGUAGAUGCACUAAUAAAUGAGUGAGAUUAGGAAUUAGGGGGCUGAUUUUCUCUUCCUAACAUAACAUGAAUGUUUAUUUUUGCUCUGAACAGAGCUGAGUGUCUGCAGAUUAUUUUUUGUUUAUUGGAGGAGGACUAAGGUUGACGGGGAGGAGAAACUUUUUUCUCUCUCCGCAAGGCCCUGGUAGCGUUGCAACCUGGACUCUGGUGGGGGCACACGCUGGUUCCCUCUCUGGGGCUCCUGCUAAGGAGAGAGAUGCCCAGAAACCUGUGGAUGGUUUUGCCUCUUUGGGACCAUUAUUUGGUUUUAAACGUUUUUCUUUUCCCUUCUGUAAGUCCCUUCUGUUUUCCCAAGCCUUCUGUUAAACGUUGACCCUCACGGCUUGGUCAGGGCUGUGCUGGGAGGAGCAAAGAGAGGCAAAGCUGUAGGGGACAACACAGAGACAACUUGCGGUCAAGGGAGUGGCAAUCAGGAAUGAAUGGCCAGCUGAGGGGACAAGUGCCAGCAGGGAGAGGGCUGUAGAAAUGAGAUUCUUCAUCUGGAAUGUGCAGGCGUAUUUCCGGAGGGAACUGGACACCGCCUGGACUCCAUGAAGUUCCAUAGUGUGCCGCCAUUGACUCAUUGCCUGUCAGCUCCAAAUCCAUCCUUUUUGCCUUCUCUGUAAAAAUGGAUCUGGGCCCUUUAUACCAUUUCCUCUGCCGGCUGGCAUGUUGUUAAGUCUCGUCCGUAGAGGGAGUGGGGAGACGGGGCAGGAGGCCAGAGCUCUGCCUGCUGGUUGCUUUGCUCUUGCAGCCGGCUCGGCAUUCUGGGCCGUGCCUCCAGCACUGGGAUCCUGCCAUGCAGGGCAGCCAGCAGCACCCAGUGGUCUCCAGCCAGCAUCUCCUGGCACCCUGCUCUUUGGGUGGUUUUGUGGUGAAGUGCUUCUGUGGGACACCUUUCCCCACACGCUAGACAGUAGAUUUGCAGUAAGUUCCACUGGCAUGAUACCACAGUGACAGAGGCUGCCAUAGUGAGCCAUGGCCAUGCUCUCCCAAAUGGAGUCUGGGUCUCAGCCCACGGAAGGGGGAGGCUCAUCCUUGGGUGCUCUUUCUUGGCUCUAAGGGUUAUGGCUGCUCCUUAAAUCUCCUAUUCCUAUUUUCUUUUGUAUUUUCUUUACUUCUUACUAGUCAAUCCCUCAUUGCUCCAAAGCCUGUUGUAGUUAAUAAUUUUUUUUGUGUGAGGAAGAUUUGUCCUGAGUUAACAUACAUUGCCAAUCCUCCUCUUUUUUUUUUCUUUCUUGAAGAAGAUCAGCCCUGAGCCAACAUCUGCACCAAUCUUCCUCCACUGUGUAUGUGGGAUGCCUCCACAGCAUGGCUGAUGAGUGGAGUAGGUCCACACCCAUGAUCCAAACCCAUGAACCUGGGCCGCCAAAGCAGAGCACACGGAACUUUAACCACGUGGCCGUGGGGCCAGACCCAAUCCUUCUUUAUAUUAAACUUUCACUGUUUAAGUACUGCGUGGUUUCUCUCUCCUGAUUGGACCUAGACUGAUACACACAGGAUGGGGCUCAGACUCUGAGCACUUGGCUGACAAGGGAAGGUGUCUCUAGAAGACUGAGGGAAUUGGAGACAUUUGGGCUGUAUGUAUUUUUCCGAGUUUGUGCAAUGAACAUAUGACUUACAUAUGCAGAAAAAAGAAAAAAAUUUAAAAGUUUGAAAAAACGCAAUACAAGAAGCAAAGGGGACAAAAACAUUCAAAAAGACCCACCCCAGUGCGGUAGGUGUGUGGCAGAAACAAGUUAUGUGCUAAGGGGGGAAGUGCCUUAGAGGAGGUGAUGCUUGAACUGAAUGUAAAGGGUGAGUGGCAGGGGGCACUUUCCCAGGCAGACACAUGUGUGCACUGGUGUGGACACAGGACCAGGGAGAGCCUAUGUCAUGGGAAGCGGUCAGUCACCAGCUCAGUGUGGACGGCGCCUGUGGCGGUCAAAGGUGGAGCACCAGGUCUGGGUGAUGACAGCAAAGCCUCAUGGCUUCAUUUAAAAACUAUGGGGUGGGUGGGAAAGUGGACUCCGUUUGCCUUUUGGACCGACCGCAGCUGUGAGAAUCUUCCUUGCAGAUCUUCGACCAUCUCCAGCUAUCCUGGAGCUUCACUGACCAAGGGCCCUGGCUGCUGUGCUCUGAAAUUCAUCUCUGGGUUUGUACGCAAGGCCACACUUCCCACCUGGCUGCUCCCAGCCAAUGACUGGGAGAGAUACCGAUACUAAGGCAGGUGGGUUCCAAAGAGAAUUGGGAGCCCAUGAUGAGCAACUGGAUGUAGGACUCCCCGAUGAUGUUCCCUAGACUGCAGGGAGGUUAGAAUGAUGGGGUCCCUCUCCUUUACUGGGGGCAGAGUUGCAUAAAGCCUGGCUCGCUCCCAUCCCUUCCUAUUUAAUCCCACAGUCAUUUCCCCUAAGAAAAUCCUUCCAGGCCCAGCCCUGUCUUGGCGCCUGCUUCUUGGAGGACCCACAUCAGCUCCUGGACUACGCCUUCCUUCCCUUCCCUCUCCUCUCCAGCGACAGCCUUUGUAUAGGCGAGGCCGGCGAUUGUGGGACACAGCCUUCAUUCCCGCGUCUCCUGGGCAUUCUCCCCCUUCUGUCAUCCAGGCCCUUGGCCUACUCAGGUUUCCCUAAUGAACCCUGCAGCUUCUCCAUCUGGAAAGUCCCAAUUCUCCUGGACUCCGGGUCACCAUCCGAGUGUCACCUCCAUCUCUGUCCUCUUCUCGGGACGGGAAGGAGAGACUCUCCUGCCUGCCGCAGGAGACUUCAGAUUCCGCCUGCUUCUGUCCUUGGUGGCACCCGAGGGAAGUCUCCGCUGUAAGCUCUUUGGGGAAGGGACUGGAUCCUAUUCACGCAUCGCAUGCACGAUGGCAGGCAGAGCGCCCAGCUCCUGGUAGGCGCUUCCUCAGCGCUUGUUGAGUUCUUGGUUUCCAUCAGUUGGGACGUCCCAAAGAAAGCGCAGGAGGCGGCGGUCGGAGCAGCAGGC